GACGAACGCUGGCGGCGUGCUUAACACAUGCAAGUCGAACGGAAAGGCCCUGCUUUUGUGGGGUGCUCGAGUGGCGAACGGGUGAGUAACACGUGAGUAACCUGCCCUUGACUUUGGGAUAACUUCAGGAAACUGGGGCUAAUACCGGAUAGGAGCUCCUGCUGCAUGGUGGGGGUUGGAAAGUUUCGGCGGUUGGGGAUGGACUCGCGGCUUAUCAGCUUGUUUGUGGGGUAGUUGCUUACCAAGGCUUUGACGGGUAGCCGGCCUGAGAGGGUGACCGGCCACAUUGGGACUGAGAUACGGCCCAGACUCCUACGGGAGGCAGCAGUGGGGAAUAUUGCACAAUGGGCGGAAGCCUGAUGCAGCAACGCCGCGUGCGGGAUGACGGCCUUCGGGUUGUAAACCGCUUUCGCCGGAGACGAAGAGUGAGUGACGGUAAUGGGUAAAGAAGCACCGGCUAACUACGUG
rnacentral:rRNA from 1 species